CUUGAUCAUAUGUCUGACUAUAUAGAAAUUUAACUUUUCUUUUAAUAUUGUACUGAUAAGCGUUAGUCUAAGUCAAGGCACAUAGCAAGACAUAUAACUGGUUUAAUUAUUUCUACUGAAAUAACUCAUGAUUGUACUGAUUGUACUGGAUGGAAAUAUAUAACUAAAACUAAAGCUAUAAUCUUCUUAGUUUGGCUGAAAAAAAUUCAGUGAUGAAAACUAUUUCCAUACAUGCUUUAGUUAUCCUUAAAAUGCACUGUGGCAGUUAAAGAUGGCUACAUAUUCUUUGAUAUGCUUCUUAUCAAUACAGUGGAUCUAUUUUCUCUCUCUCUAUGGGCUGCUCUAUGACUUAUUUGAUCAAUAGAGUAUGAAAGAAGUGAUGCCACAUCAUUUCUGGAACUUAACUUUUUAAAAGGACUGGCAGUUCCAUCUUGGUUUUCUGGAGCCCUUGUAACCACCUUGUAAGAAGACCAACUUCAUGUAAGAAGUCCAUGCCUCAGAGACCAUGUGGAGAGGCAGUGUGACUGCAUGGAAGUAGAGAGUGGUCCCACUGAGCUCAACCCUCCAGAUAUGUUUGUGAAGGCACUAGGGAGGCAAAUGAAGCCAUGUGGUCAACCGUGUACACUAGCUUGCCACUUACCACCAUGUGGCCUCAGUUGAUAUCAAUGAGGCAUAAGAAUUGUUCAGUAGAGACUUAUCAAAAUUUGUGAUCCACAAAAAUCAAGAGAUAUGAAAAAAUAGUGUUUUGGACUAACAUAGUGAUAGAUAACAUAAAACUGGCAUUUAAACAUCCUAAAUACUCAAUUGCUGAAAUAAUAAGAUUUAAUGUUAUGAAAUGACUUUCAUUCAUGCGAUUUAUAUAAUACGUAGAUUUCCCUUCAUCCAAAACAGCCACAUUUCUCUCUUUAAAAAAAUCAGAUAACUUGGGUAAAUAACCAUUAUUUACAUGAUCUUUUUAAGUAAAAGUGAAGAGCUUUACCAAAGAUUAAGUUGAAUAUAUCUUAUUUAUUUAGAGCUUUAUUUUAUUAAGUAUUUUGGUAUACAUUAUUAUACCCAAUUUAUUUAUAUAUCUCCCUGAGUUAGGCAGGGCAGAUAUUAUUAUUCCCAUUACAGACAUAGGAAAAUUGCAAUUUGUAGAGAAAUGGCUCACUUCAGGCAAUUUGGCAACAAAGUAAGGAAACAAAUACCAGUAUCCAAAUUUUCAGAAUUCACAUUAUCUUUUAACAUCAUCUACAUGAUCUCUGGUAUCAGACAGCCAGUAUAUAAAACUUCUAUACUAACACCUUGCAUAAAGUCUGAUACAUCUCUCAGGAAAUACACCAAAUGUUUCCUUAAUAAAUAACUCACAAGAUUCCUUCUAUUAGCAAUAGGAAUUGCCCAACUAGACAUAGGACACUUUUUUUUUCAUAUUCUUUUAACAUUGACAUAUUAACAUACAGGAAUAUUGUAAGACUAAUAAUUAGGAAUUUUGGACUAGUGGCAUAGAGUUUGUAAAUAAUGUAUUUAAAUUUUAUUUGUAUGUUCACUGAAUGUGAAUUUCAAAGUGACAGAAAUUGGACCUAAUUUUCCCCAUUAAAUUUGUUAAACACUAUUAUAAUCCCUGUACUAUAUUUAUAGGCAUGAAAAUCAGUUGACAUGUGAAUUAGUCAACUACUGAAACAGCCUUUUUUAGUGAUAUAGACCUAAACUAUAAAUUUGUAUCAUAGUGAGAUUUUUUUCUUAGGUUCUUCUCAUUUUUUUCCCUUAAAAAUUCUCCUUAAUAUCCCUAAUUAUUCCCACUGUACCAAUAUUUUUAGCAAAUCAUAUUCUUUCUCAUUGUUCACAUUCCUUAAAUAUCAGGAAAUUAUCAUCUCUACCUCUAAGCACGGCUUCGUCAUGUUCUAUCAAGUGAGAUCCUGCAAGCUUUCUUCAUUAAUUACUGUCACCUUUUCUCUUAAUCGUUUUGAAUUUUUGAAAGUUUCUUUAAUUUGCCUUCUCAAAUUGGGAUACCUAAAAUUAAACAUGCUAUUCAGAAAGUAUUUUCACUGUAGCCUUUUUCUUCUCUUAACAAUAUUAAUCAGAAGAUUAUUUACCUCUUUAAAAUUUUCAUUUUCAAUCAUAUCCUAGUUAAGAUGCAUUCAAAAUAAUUUAAAUUUUGUAGUUGAAAUACAAGCCUACAAUUCCAUAUUAACUCUCUGAAUGAUAAAUCUUACAGCGUGCUAAGACGUCAGCAAAGUGAAUGCCUAUUCAAGGAAUAAUAAAGAUUUCUACAAAAGCUGAGAAAUACCUUACCUGAAGUUUCUGAAACUAAAAUUUAUGAAUGGCUGGUGAGAAGAUUGCAUGUCAAGAUUGCAUGAACUGUUUUAAUCCUAGAGAAGUUAUAUCUUAUUCAAAUAUUUCCAGGAAGAUUGUCUUAGGGUAAUAGCUUGUACACAUACACAUUUUAAAAGAAUUUAAACUUAGGUUUGUCUUGUGCAUAUGAACACAUGCGGGUUUAUAUCUUGUCCACAAUUAUCCUUCAAGAUAAUAAAAAGAAAAAUAGUGGCCCUAACUCUGAAUAAUAUUACAAACGGGAACAAGCAUAAAUGUAGUUUUUAAGCUAGUGAUGAAGGCAAAAAUACUUCUAGUUACCUCUCCACAAAAGUCUAGCUGUACAUUUUUUCACUUUGCCACUAUAAAGCUAUUUCUUUAAGAAUUCAGAAUGAAAUGCUACUAAAUAUUUGGAAGAUGUUAAGAAGGUGGACAGAAUCUGACUGAUAGCACGUAGAACAGUGAACAUUUUAUUUUUUAGAAAAUGAAUGUUUCAAAGUCGUCUGCCUACAUUAAAUAUUUUUUUCAUACUUUUCAAGGCAACUUUGCAUUUCUGAGCUUUUCUUUUUCUUGAAAUGCCUUCUAUUUUUAAGUGGUAUUCAUUUUAAUAAGCACUUUUAUCAAGAAAAAAAUUACUGAAAAAAAUGAGAGAUUAUGAAAGAAUUCCUUAUAAAACGAUGAAGGUCAAGUUACAAAAAAACAAAGCAGCAUUUAUUAGACCAUGACCCAGUUAAUUAAAAUAGAGUGCAUAUUUUCCUUCCUUUGAUUCACAGAAUCUCAUAUGUGUUUGUGGACCUGUGUGAGGAUGUAAAAUGGUCCCUGGUGAACCAGAAGUCCCAUUUCCUCAUCAAACUUAUUAGUAGUUGUAUUGACCAGCAUGAAAAUAGAUUCUGCAUAUGAAAUCAAAAGAAUGAGAAAAUAUGAAGAACAUCUCAUAGGGAAUAAAUUUCAAGAGAAUAGUGAUUUUGUAAGAAUAAGAGCUAAUACUUAUUAAGUGUCAUUAACUGAUUAAGCACUGUGGUAAGUACUUUCUGUGUAUUAACUCAUUUAAUUGUCAUAACAAUCCUAAUUAUUAUCAUUCUCAUUUUAUAGAUGAAGAAGCUGAGAUGCAGAGAGGGGAAGAAAUGUUCUGUUUAACUGCUCGCAAUGGGUAGAGUUGGUAAUUGAACCCGGACAGUCUGGCUCCAGAGUUUGCUCUAAUUGCUUCUCUGAUUCUCAAACUUGAGAGUGUAUCAGAAUCCCUAGGAGGGUUCAUUAGAAAACAGAUUUCUGGGUCCCAAUUUCCGAGAUCCUCAUUUAGUAUGUCUGGGGAGAGGACCAAAUUUUCCAUUUCUAGGGAAGUCCCCAGGUAAUUCCGAUGCUGCGGGUCCAAGGACCACACUUUGGGAGCCACUGCAUUACACUAUACUGCCUGUUAGGAAUUGCACUUGAUCAAGCCUGAUUGUAGACAAUUUUAGGUUCUAUAAAAUUUUGCUCUAUGAUUCAAAUGUUUACUUUGGUCAAAGCAAAUAAUAGAUCAACUUGCAGAAAUUGUAGGUUACAAUUAAGCUGACCAUUAGAAAAGGCACAUCAGCACAAAUCCACUCAUUAAAUAAUCAUUUAAUUGCCAAUCAUGGGUUUUGAGGCUUGAAAUACAAUGAUGGGCAAUAUAUAUUGACCUUGCUCCCAAGAGCUUCACUUUAGGAAGACAUGUAAAUAAUAAUUCGAAUAUAGUGUCAUGAGGGCUGCUAUGGAUGGGUAAAGGGGGUGGAGAUAGAAAGGAUCAGAAAAUCUUCCACAGAGGAGAGUUUAUGAAUUGUCUUAAAGUGUGAAUUGAAGUUAGCACUGAUAUAUGUCUCAUGAACAUGGCAUGGGCAAAGUUAUGGAGAUGAGAAAAGGUACAUUGAGUAUUGGAAAUUAUUAAGAAUUUGGUUGGCUGCAGCCCAGGAUUUGAGCAAUGCAUGGGAGGCUGAAUAAAAGAAGAUUAAUAUGAUUACAAAGAAAAUUAUUAAAGCAUGAUGACUUCUUGGAGUUUGGAUGAGAAGUGAGUGAGAGGUUUUUAAGCGAGAGAUAUGAUCAGUGAUGAUUUCUAAAUAGGUAACUGCUAAAUGCAGAGUUAACAGCAUUAACCUCGUAGUUGUUUGGAUAACAGUUUAGAAAAAAGGAUCUUAGCGGCAAGGAGACCAGUCCAGGCAGCAAAUGACAUAGGAAAUGGUCUAAAAUAUUGGCUAUGGGGUUGAAUUGAAAAAGGAAGAUUAGAUAAAUAAAUAAAUCAUACUUGUAUGGUUUUGGUUUAAGUACUUUACAUAUUAUAUUAAUAACUCAUAAUUAAUCCUCACAAGAAGGCUGGUACUAUAAUUUUCUUUUUAUAAAGAAACUAAAGCAGAGAAAGUUCAUUUACUGGAGGUCACACUGCUUGUCAGUGGUAGAGCCAGGAUUUGAACUCAGGUAUUUGGCCCCAGAGUUCACUUUCACAGGCAGGCCUGGUAAGAGAUUGCAUGUUGAAAGUAAGUAAAAAAAGGAGGUUUUAAAGGUUUCCUGGCUGGAAACAGUGGCUCAUGCCUAUAAUCCCAGCACUUUGGGAGGUUGAGGUUGGUGGAUCACCUGAGGUCAGGAGUUUGAGACCAGCCUGACCAACAUGGUGAAAACCCAUCUCUACUAAAAAUACAAAAUUAGCCAGGCAUGGCGGCACAUGCCUGUAAUCCCAGCUACUGGGGAGGCUGUGGCAGGAGAAUCACUUGAACCCAGGGGGCAGAGGUUGCAGUGAGCCAAGAUCGCGCUACCGCACUCCCACCUGGGUAGCAAAAGCGAAACUCCAUCUCAUAAAAAUAGAAGGGUUCCUACACCAAACACAUAUUUAAGCUAGUGAAUAUGCAUACACUAUCCAGUAGAUACGGCUUAGGUAACUAAUCCAUUCAAGUGAUUAUCUAGUGGAAUGUAUAGGAGACCAGACAUCCCUUUCAGCAAGUUUCCUUUAUUAUGAUUCUCUAAGGCUGGAGUGAACACAGUGCCCAUCAGAGGGGAUGAUUAAUGAAACAGGCAUCAUCUCUAGAGCCAUCGUCAUGCUGACACAGGGACAGCACAUCUUCCAUUGGCUUGCCCUGCAAAAGUUAUUGUUCUGAGAACAACUGCUAGGUUCAUUCAUAGAAAUGAAGUAGUUACAGUCUUGGCUCGGGAGAGUCAACUAUGUAUUUGCACAUUUCAUUAUAAUGUGGUGCUGUAGUAGCCAAUCUAUAGGGUGCUACUGAAAAUUAACAGGGUCAAGAUUACACAACACUGUUAAAGUGUGGCCACAGCUACUAAACUUAUCACUUCCCAAAUGACUACAGAUAAUUUGUCUUUCAUGGUGAAGAACAAUAACAUAAAAUAGAGUAAGAUGAUAUAAAGUAAGAGAUAAGAAAAUGGAAGACAUUUCAUUGCAGCUUCUCCAGCUUGGUGGACUGAAGACACCAACUUAGAAUCACAAGCUCUUCCUGGACACUGAAAUAGUCAAUCCAAUGUGGGAGAAAGAAUUUUAGGACAUUUCUGAAACAAAGUCUGUUUGUUCAAAAGACAUAUCCUUCUUGAAAUCUAAGAUAAAGGUACAACUUUGUAGCCCUAGUCAUUUACCAUCUGGAAAGGAAAUGUCCUAGUUUACGAGACCUUGCUAAGGUCUGUAACUUAAAAUAAAAUAAAAAAAAAGGGGGUUCCUACACCAAACACAUAUUUAUGGUAGCGAAUAUGUAUGCAAUAUCCAGUGGGUAUAGACUAGCCAACUAAUCCAUUCAAGUGACGAUCUAGUGGAAUGUAUAAGAGACCAGACAAGACUGUAACUACUUCAUUUCUACAUACCUAUUACCUAGCAAAAUGUCUAAUAAAUGAUAGACCCUUAAUGUUGACUGAAGAAAUUUGAAGCAGCAAUGGGGAUCCCAGAAUGAACUUAACAGUUGUUCUCAGAACAAUAGCAAUGCAUCAUUACAGGGGAGACAUAAAACAGGCAAAAGAAAGAGAAAGAAAGAAAGAAAGAAAGAGAGAGAGAAAGAAAGAAAGGUAGGUAGGUUAAGGAAAGGAAGGAAGGAAGGUGAAGGAAAGGAAGGAAAGGAAGGUGGAAGGAAGGAAAGAAGGAAAGUAGGAAGGAAGGAAGGAAAGAACGAAGGAAGGUAGGAAGGAAGGAAGAGAGGGAAGGAGGGAGGAAGGAAGGAAGGAAGAACUUUGAACUUUCUUUUAGAAACUCAGUUUCUAAGGCUUGAGGGUUCACAGGGAAUUUUUAGGAGUACAAUUAUAGGAGGACAAUUAUUAGGAGUAAAAUAUAGAAUACCCAUUUACAAGUUCCACCAAAAGAAAAGCUUGCACAAUUUUUGAUAACAAUAAGUGGCCAAGUGCAGUAGCUCAUGCCUGCAAACCCAGCGCUUUGAGAGGCUAAGGCAGGAAGAUGGCCUGAGGCCAGGAGUUUGAAAACAGCCUAGGCAACAUAGCGAGAUCCCUAUUUUAAGAGAAAAGAAAGGAAAAGAAAAGAAAGGAAAAGAAAAGAAAAGAAAAGAAAAGAAAAGAAAAGAACAGGACAGGAGAGGAGGGGAGGGGAGGGAAGGGAAGGGAAGGGGAGAGAAAGGGAAGGGAAGAUAAGAAAAGAAAAGGAAAGAAAACAAAAGGAAAGAUAAGAAAAGAAAAGAAAAAGCUAGUCAUGGUGGCACAAGCCUAUAGUCCUAGCUACUUAGAAGGCUAAAGCUGGAGGAUUGCUUGAGCACAGGAGUUCCAGGUCACAGUAAGCCAGUAUACUCUAGCCUAGAUGACAGUGUGAGAUCCUGUCUAAAAAAAAAAAAAAAAAAAAAAGUAAGUGUGAUAAUUAUUAUGUGACUGUGAUAAAGAAGAAAAAAAUGAUUAUUGAGUGGUGGUGUUAAUUUUUAGUAAAUAAUGGUUAGCUCCAUUCUUCAUCACAAUGACUAAAAAGAAAAAUGAAGCAAUGGUUGAAAACAUCAAGCUUUUCCAAGCCAUUUUCCCUUCUUCAAUAGCUAAAAGAAACUCAGAAGCAGUUUUUUUGGGGGCAAUUGAGAGGAGAGGAUGUCGUCUAAUGGGAACCCAGGCUUCAAGAAGAAAUCUUAACUACUUUUCUGAUUUUGAGACUCCAAUAAAUUGCUGAAUCUUUCCAUUCUUCUAUAUUCUCCUAUGUACAGUAGGCAUUAAUAGCCUCUCUAAAGCAUCUUCCUGAGGAUUAAAUGAAAUAACAUGUUUAAUACUCCUGACACAUAGUUGGACCCACUAAAUAGUAGCUAUGUUUUUAAAAUGUUUCUUCAUACUUAAUCUGUGAUUAAAUCAAACUCACAUGCGUGUAGGACUGUAUUUGUCCAUCUAAACUGAAGGUUCUUUGUGUAAUCAUUGCAAAAUGGAGUUAACUGCAAGGGUUUUUAAAGGGGUGUGUGCUAGGUUGGGGAGUGGUGAGUGGACCUGUGUGCCUGUUUAUAUUCAUUCCAAACACCCAAUACUCAUUUAUUCAUUCACUCAUUUUAUAAGUAAUAACAAUAACAUUAAAACCUAAGGUGUAAGGCCAUUGACCUGCUUAUAGCUCUCCAACAGUCCCACUUUCCUAUGGAUGGCUCCAAUUGCACACAUCAUUUAUUUGAGCCACUUUCUUGAUACAGAAAUUAGCAAUCAGUAGUCAUGUUUGAAUGUAAGUUAAAAGAGAAAGCUGAAGAGUGAAAGAGUUUCAUACUUACUCACAGGAGAUACUGGGGAGAAAAUCCACUUUAGUUUUUCUAAUAAUAAGCAUCAGAGACAUAUGGAAGAUUGAUGAUAGUGGUAAUUUUUUUUUGCUCGUCAUAGCAAUUACAUAGAAUGUCAAGUAGACUUUUCAAUUUUGAGAGACUUUAUAAUUUUUGGUAAGAAAGAAUAUGUAAAGGAAGCUCAUCAGGAUAAUAGCAUCACUCUUAACCCUCUUAAAAUUGCAGAUAUUCCCCCCUAUAAUUGGUGGGAAAUUUACUGACCACAGAAUAGAAUUACAAAAGAAAGCUGGUCAAGAAAAUAAGCAGAAGCCAUCAGAAACAUUUAAGAUUACAUAUCAGAAAAUCUUAAGGUUUACUUGUUACAAAAUAUUUGGCUUUGCAGGAUUAAAAAGUAUUUAAGUGGGUUGUUAUGGUUAAAAUACUAUGAACUGUAGACUAAAUAAAGAAUAGCCUUGUAAUUUCAAUAUCAUCAUAUAUUUCUCACUAUGUAAUUAAUGGACAACAACAUUUAGGAAAGAUUUGAAUUUUACAGUAAAAUUUUAAAAUGUGCCUUAGUAUUAUUAAAGAAUUGUGUUUUUAUUUUUAAUUUCAACUGGUUGAUGCACUAGUGUGAAUGCUUUUUAUGAUUUUUAAAAUGAUUUUUUGCAACAUUAACUUUUAUAAUAUGAAACAUAAUUAGGACAAUGAAAUAAGAAGUGUUAUCUAUCCCAACAGAUUACAGUGAUCAUCUUCUUUGUGUUUCUCUCCCCGCCCCUCACCAUUCCUUUUUUUGUCUUGCUUUUCAUUGGGCACACAUGAAUUUUGGAGAAACCUUUCUAUAGGAUAUGUAAUUCUUUCCAACUUCUCUAAGUUUCCAAGACAUAUUCUUCUACCACUCUCAAAGAUUUUGAUUCUUAAAAGAAAUUAAAGCUAAAAUUUUUUUUAUUACACAUUAAGUUCUGGGAUACAUGUGCAGAAUGUGCAUGUUUGUUUCAUAAGUACACACGUGUCAUGGUGGUUUGCUGGACCCAUCAACCUGUCACCUACAUUAGGUAUUUCUCCUAAUGCUAUCCCUCCCCUAGCCCCCAAACCCCCAACAGGCCCUGGUGUGUGAUGCCCCCUCCUUGUGUCCAUAUGUUCUUAUUGUUCAACUCCCACUUAUGAGUGAAAACAUGCAGUGUUUGGUUUACUGUUCCUGUGUUAGUUUGCUGAGAAUGAUGGUUUCCAGCUUCAUCCAUAUCCUUGCAAAGGACAUGAACUCAUCCUAUUUUGUGGCUGCAUAGUAUUGCAUGGUGUAUAUGUGCCACUUUUCCUUAUCCAGUCUAUCAUUGAUGGACAUUUGGGUUGGUUCCAAGUCUUUGCUAUUGUGAAUAGUGCUGCAAUAAACAUACAUGUGCAUGUGUCUUUAUAGUAGAAUGAUUUAUAAUCCUUUGGGUAUAGACCCAGUAAUGGAAUUGCUGGGUCAAAUGUUAUUUCUGGUUCUAGAUCCAAAGUUUCAUUUAAUUAACAAUUACAGCAAUUUUCAAACCAAUGUAAAAUUUUCUUUGGAAUUAUUUAUUUAGAAAAAGCAACUAAUUGUUAUAUUUCUUGUAGCUAUUAUUAAUGAAACAGUAUAUUCAUUAUUUUUAUCUAUUGAGUGUCAACAUUCCAGAAAAAUAUCUUCUUUAGUCCCAAUAAAUCUGAACUGCCUUGUUUUCAAGGAUUUAUGAAUUAGUUAGACUCAAGGUAGGAUCAUCCUUUCUAGAUAUUGAUACUAGAAGAGCAUAUCAAUUAAAAAAAUUGACCAGAUUUUGGAAAGUAUGUGCUAUGAAUUGAAUUGUGUUUCUCCCAAACUCACAUGUUGAAGUCCUAUCCCCAGUGACAAUAUUUGGAGAUAGGGCUUUUAUGAGGUAAUUAAGGUUAAAUGUUGCCAGAAGGGUAGGGUCUCAAUACAAUAGGAUUGGCAGCUUUAUAAGAAUAGGAAAAGAGAGUGAUCUCUCCCUCCACAUUCACAUAUCAAGGUAACAACAUGUGAGGACACAAAGAGAAGGUGGCCAUGAGCCCUCACCCAAACCAAACCCUGCUGGACAUUGAUGUUUAACUUUCUAGCCUCCGGAACCGAGAGAAAGUAGGCUUUUAUUAUUUAAGCCAUCCAGUUUAUUGUGUUUAUUAGGGCUGUCCAAGCUGACUAAGAAAGCCAGUAUCCCUUCCAAAGCUAGAAUGCUGCACUUGGAGACACAAAUCCUGUGGUUUUGCGGCAUCUCUGCCACUCGAAAAGUUUGCAGACAUGGCCAAUUCACUUACUGGCUUUGACAAUCAAUGCCUUUCUCUGUAAAACGAGGAUGGUCAUCUUGUUAGUAAUCUUGAUGGUAAUCUUGGAUUAAAUAGGACAAUAG
rnacentral:lncRNA from 10 species